AUGGGCCUGAGCUCAAGCCUAGUGCCAGUGGCAUCUGCACUGCUCCUUUUCUGCUGCUUCACUGCCUGGAAUGCUGCCGCCGCUGCUGCCAGCGGUGGCGGUGGUCUGAGGCUGAACUACUACUCCGAGAGCUGCCCGAGAGCGGAGGAGAUCGUGAAGGAGCAGGUGAGGAGGCUGUACGAGGAGCACGGCAACACGGCCGUGUCGUGGCUCCGGGCCCUCUUCCACGACUGCACCGUCAAGUCCUGCGACGCGUCGCUGCUCCUGGAGACCGACGCCGCCACGGGCCUCGUCUCCGAGCAGGCCUCCCCGAGGAGCUUCGGCAUGCGCAACUUCAAGUACGUGGGCGCCAUCAAGUCGGCCCUGGAGCGCGAGUGCCCGGGCACCGUCUCCUGCGCGGACAUCCUCGCGCUCGCCACCCGGGACGGAGCGGCCAUGCUGGGCGGGCCGGCGGCGAUCCCGAUGCGGACGGGGCGGCGGGACGCCACGGAGAGCCAGUACGGCGAGGUGGAGCGGUACAUCCCGAACCACAACGACACGGUGUCGGCGGUGCUGUCCCGGUUCGCGGCCAUGGGGCUGGGCGCCGAGGCCGUGGUGGCGCUGCUGGGCGCGCACUCGGUGGGCCGCGUCCACUGCAGCAACCUGGUGGCGAGGCUGUACCCGGCCGUGGACGCUGGCAUGGAGCCGGCGUACGGCGCGUACCUGCGGGGCCGGUGCCCGACGGCGGACGCGAGGGAGGACACCCGCGACGUGGCGUACGCGCGUAACGACCGCGCCACGCCCAUGGUGCUCGACAACAUGUACCACAAGAACCUGCUCAAGGGUCGGGGGCUCCUGCUCGUGGACCAGCGGCUCGCCUCCGACCCCCGCACCGCGCCGUUCGUGAGGAGGAUGGCGGCUGACAACGGGUACUUUGGUGAGACGUUCGCGGCGGCGCUGGUGAGGAUGUCGGAGAACGGGCCGCUCACCGGCGGGCAGGGGGAGGUCAGGAAGGACUGCAGGUUCGUCAACGCCAAGUAA
rnacentral:rRNA from 1 species